GGCUACGGAAGACGGAAACGCCUGUGUGUGCUCACUGGGUAAACAGAGCCUGUGCAGCCUGGUCAAGUGCCGCAUUAGAGACAGGUGGGGAGAACACGCUCAACUAAUCCAGGACAGUUACCCCUGUCCGAAGCGGUGAAACCUGAGAUUGGGAAGCCCAGCCGCUGUCUGGGGAGCGGGCAUCCUGCGUGGACACUGGGACUUGACUAUUAGCACACAAGGUGCGGGCAGGGACUGACCGCCCGGCAUCCAAGGCUGCUGGGGCGCUUCCUGAUGGAUCUGUGCUCUCCUGGCAGCUGGGAAGGAGCGGGGUGGCUUUGACCACAACUGCUGCUGGGCCAGAGAAUCCUGGAGAAAGGAAUGGCGCUCACCAAUGGACGCCAGCAACAGGGUUGUUUGGAUGCUGCUAAGUGACCAGAAACGAGAGAAGUCUACAUGUAAAGAGGAGCUGCCCACCCCAACCCCCCACCCGCAGGAGGGCAGGGUGGCCCAGGGCAAGCGCGCUCCCCGAGAUGCGCGCUCUGGCGUCGGGACUCCUUCGUUGGGGACCUGGUUUACAAAGGCUAGCCCAGCCUUGCCCCGGGGUGUCUGCGACGGGCCACCGAGUGGGUCCCCGACCAAUGAACCCCAACUUUAAAGAGCCGUGGCUCCAGGGGUCCCAAGUAACCCCGGCUUCCGUGGGUCCCAGGCUCUCCGCCGCCUGCCCCGGGAGGCCUUUUCUUUCUUUCGGCCGAGAAGGCGGGGUCAUCUACCGCGAAGACGAAAAUCUUUCCAGGAAGUUUGUACCUAUUAAUAUUCCAGUUCCUGGCAGCAGCUCUCCGCGCCGGGGAGGGGGCAGGGCGGACCCUGCAGCUGCUUCUGCAGCCGAGUGUCCACCGCUGGCCCGAGGCAAGCGGCGGAGGGGUAGCUCCUAGGUCCCACGCUCACGGCGGGAGCAGGACCUGCUCCGAUGCUCAAGGCGCCAGAGCCCCGAGGCUAGCCCGCGAGCGGCGCGCGGUGGGACCCGGAGGAUCCCGAGGCCGAGACGAAACCAAGAGCUGGGACGCGGGAGGGGGAUGGGAGAAGGACAGGAGGGAUCCGUGCCUCGGAGCGGGUUGUGGGUCAACCAGAGGCCGGCACUUGGGCUGCGCCUCUCCCCCAAAAGAAAACUGGUCCGGGAAGCAGGAGCCCUCGAGGAGCGGGAGACCGCGAGCCCCAGGGCCCUGGAGAGGCUGGGACCCUGGUUCUGACCUUGCUAUGGUAACACAGCCGUAGGGCGCUGCAGCAGAAAUUUGAUAUUUGAAAGCUUAUGGGCUCCUCGCCACCACCUUGCAUGACUGUCAUUAUCUCCGAUCACAGACGGAGAAAUUGGAGCUCACGAGUAGCUAAGGGACUGGCGCGCUGGAGGUCGUAGUGUUGUUCGCCACCGCACGGUCCUGUGUGAGGCCGGAUCUCCUAGAAGGAAGCGCAGCUGUUGGCCCGCAGUAGCGGCCAGCAGACUCCUCAGCUCAGGGAACCGCAGGACCCACCCGGAGCCUGCCGGAUUUGCAGAAGCUCUUUCAGGGCGCAAGUGCCCGCUCAGUCUUUCUAUCUGGCCACAUGUGGGACAUAAGCCACUUGUCGAAGCACCCGAGUGUGUAACACCGCUGGGCUUCUGUAGAUAAGCCUUCUGACCUGGGCUGGUCCGGUGCUAACUGACCCCGAGGAUGAAUUUAAUUAAGUUCCUAUGUCGCACUGUCUUCCUCAGCAUUCUAGAGUCGUUUGCAAGGCACGAAGGCAAUCCUCCUGUCCAGGACGGUCAAACCUACCCUGUGCAGGGACUCUGUCCAGCUCUGUAUAACCUGUCCAGCCACUAGGUCACCAGUGCUGAGACAGGAAAGGACAAAGGUGUCCUUUGUCCCGUCCCCCCCCCCAAACGCGAGCCUCCAGCCUUCAGGGGCUCUGGGUAGCCCAGGACCCAUCUGUGCCUCCCAGAUGACCCUCACCAGUGGGCCUGCGAGGAGGCUGGAACAGAAUUUGGUAUUUUAAGGUAGGGUUUGCCAACUAGGAAGUCUUCCCAUAGCCCUUCUCCUGGGAAAAAAAUCCUCAAAGGCCAAGUCCCCAGUGGAAUGUGAGACCCACCACGGGUGGCCUCUCUUCUGUCUCCUUUGAGUGCCCGGUGUGGAGACCUCUCCUGGACUAUUAGCCAUCAGCAGGAGGUAUCUUCUGGAACCAGAAGUCAGCAAACACGGCCGCCUUCUCAGCUCUCAGCCUUGUCUGAAGCAUUAUUUCUUUCGGCUUCUGUUUUCCUUCACACUCAGAAGGUGCAAGGAGGAGAAGGCCCUGUCACACAAAUGCUCUGGGUUCAGCUUGGGUGAGCCAGGAAACCCAUCACCUUCCCUUUGGGCUGCAGAACCCUGCUAGGUUGCCAUGCACAUGUCCCGGGAACAACGAGGCAGCAUCAGCUAUUUCAAUGCAGAGCUAGGCACACAAUCCUUGCUAAAAAUAAAUACAAAGGAAAACCCCAAAGUAGCUAA